AGAGAGAGAGAGAGAGGUGGAAGGAGUGAAGAGGGAAAGAUGAGGGUUGGGUAAGAUACAGGAAAAACUAAAUAAAUGAAAAAAUAAUAAUAAACAAUAAUUUUAAUUUCUAUUGAUAAUAAAAUAUGUAUAUUUUUUUCAAUUUCAGUCUACUACAAUAAAUUGUUGGAAAAAUUGACUAUAACUGAGAAAACACAGAAUAAUUUGAAAUUUAGGUCAAUUAUUAGUUUGCGCUUAGCCGGUCCCA
rnacentral:misc_RNA from 1 species